rnacentral:rRNA from 1 species
UACAGAGGUCUCAAGCGUUGUUCGGAUUCAUUGGGCGUAAAGGGUGCGUAGGCGGCGCGGUAAGUCGGGUGUGAAAUCUCGGGGCUUAACUCCGAAACUGCAUUCGAUACUGCCGUGCUUGAGGACUGGAGAGGAGACUGGAAUUUACGGUGUAGCGGUGAAAUGCGCAGAUAUCAGGAGGAACACCAAUAGCGAAGGCAGCUCGCUGGGACGGUACUGACGCUAAGGCGCGAAAGCGUGGGGAGCGAACAGG